rnacentral:rRNA from 1 species
AGAAUCAACGCUGGCGGCGUGCCUAACACAUGCAAGUCGAACGAGAAAGUGGAGCAAUCCAUGAGUAAAGUGGCGCACGGGUGAGUAACACGUGACUAACCUACCUUUUAGUGGGGGAUAACCUAGGGAACCUGGGCUAAUACCGCAUAAUACCUACGGGUCAAAGCAGCAAUGCGCUGAAAGAGGGGGUCGCGGCCGAUUAGCUAGUUGGCGGGGUAAUGGCCCACCAAGGCAGUGAUCGGUAUCCGGCCUGAGAGGGCGCACGGACACACUGGAACUGAAACACGGUCCAGACUCCUACGGGAGGCAGCAGUGGGGAAUUUUGCGCAAUGGGGGAAACCCUGACGCAGCAACGCCGCGUGGAGGAUGAAGUCCCUUGGGACGUAAACUCCUUCGAUCGGGACGAUAAUGACGGUACCGAAGAAGAAGCCCGGCUAACUCGUGCCAGCAGCCGC